rnacentral:rRNA from 1 species
GGCGAACGCUGGCGGCGUGCUUAACACAUGCAAGUCGAACGGAAAGGCCCCUUCGGGGGUACUCGAGUGGCGAACGGGUGAGUAACACGUGGGUGACCUGCCCUGCACUUCGGGAUAAGCCUGGGAAACUGGGUCUAAUGCCGGAUAGGACCGCAUCGUGAGGCUGUGGCGGAACGGCUUUUCGGUGCCGGAUGGGCCCGCGGCCUAUGAGCGUGUUGGUGGGGUAAUGGCCUACCAAGGCGGCGACGGGUAGCCGGCCUGAGGGGGUGGACGGCCACAUUGGGACUGAGACACGGCCCAGACUCCUACGGGAGGCAGCAGUGGGGAAUAUUGCACAAUGGGCGCAAGCCUGAUGCAGCGACGCCGCGUGGGGGAUGAAGGCCUUCGGGUUGUAAACUCCUUUCAUCAUCGACGAAGGGCUCACUUGUUGUGGGUUUGACGGUAGGUGGAGAAGAAGCACCGGCUAACUACGUGCCAGCCGCCGCCGUAAUAC